GAACAAGUUACUCAUUACAGACUAUUAAAAAAGAUGACAGGGACAGCAAAAGGAGUAUCCAAAUAAUGGGAAUUUUCUUCUCUUCAUCUCCCUACUCAUCCAAGAGAGUUGAAGAUUAAAGCAGUGGAAGAUAAGUGUUGGUGCGAGGAUUUAAAAGCUUGAAUGGACCUAAGGACAAGGAGCGCUGCUGGUGGUGGGUGGAUGCAGACGGCAGACCUGAGAGCAAAUACAGUGGAAAGGAACUGUUCUUGUCAUUAUGGCUUGAGAUUGGCAGCCUGUGUGUGAUGAUUAGGAUUCAGCUGGAGAUCUCUCUGAAGGAAGUCAAUAUGAAGGAGGUAAAAUGGAAUGC